GGGAGCAUUGGGGUGCAGAGACCCACCUGCAGACCAUGGGGGAGCCUGUGCUGGAGCAGAUGGAUAUCUGAAGGAGGCUGUGACCUCAUAGGAGGCCCAAGAUGGAGUGGGGUCCUGCUGGAGACCUGCAGCCCAUGGAGAGGGAAGCCCACGCUGGAGCAGGUUUUUCCCAGUUGCAGAGAGAAGUGAGAGAGCAGCUGUAGUGAGUACCUGCUGUCCAGCCAGGGUCAACUCACUACAAUAAGUAGCAAUUCACAUAAAACAAUGUGAAAACCCUGAAUUAAGUAUUUUACUCUGCAAAUAUUUCCAGCAUUUCCCCUAUGCCAGAACAUUUCACUGAUGAUGGCUUUUAUGAGUUUUUGAAGGUAAAUUACAAGUUCCUACAAGAGGACCAGAAAGAAACUGUUGAGAUGGGAAGCUCCUUUGAACACCUGCCCAAGGAGAUAAGAAUGUGGAGAUCCUAAACACAGGCACACGUGAGACACAGCAAGAGCAUUAAAUACACUCUUGUUUUUUGCUUUACUACUUCCUACACAUUAUUUAGCAGACAGAAAUUUCCUUUCCAGUCACUAAGCUCCAUAUGAAGACCCAGCAAGGUCCUUCUCCAUGCAGAAAGUGUGAAGGGAUCAGAAAGAAGACCCUGAAGCUGCCCUGGGUUUGAGCAGACCAGGGGCCAGAGACCUUCAGCCAGGCUGUCCACAGGACAGGAACUUUAGUGACAGGUCUGAGGAUUUCUGCAAAAACAGGCAUGUGUAACAAAAUCAUUAUAGAAAUACAGAUACAAUAGCAACAAAGGCUUGGAGUGGUUUUGUGUUUGCUGCAAGAAAGAAGAGAUUGUUGGGAGAAGCCAGCUGGGUAGUCCCAACACUGCACCCACCCCCUGUGAUACACCUACCUUUGUGCAGCAGCACCAACUAAGCCCACUCUGACGGGUGGCUGGGACUUGCAUCGUGCAGAUCAAACAACAGAAGCUUCAACAGGGUGGGAGGCACACAGCAGCUUCGAGAUCCAGUAGACACAAUUAGGCAGCUGAUUUUACACUCUUUCUUUCCUUUCCCUUUCCCUAAGCAGCUCUUUAAAGGCAGCUCACUAGAGCAGCUGGAGCUUGCUGUGAAAGACCAGUUGCACCCACCCACCCACCCACUCACUACAAAUCUGACAAUUACCAUUCAAUUAGACUAUUUUAAAUAUUCCCAGUAUUUCAGGUUUAUUUUCUACUUUCAAGAAACACCGGUGUUUGUGAUAAAGUUGCUUGUAAUGAAAAGGGAUGCUUUAAUUUAACCUGAAAGUCUCUCCCUUGUGCAAUACACUGCUUAAACACCAAUCUGCUUAUAAACAGGUGGUAUACAGUAAUACAUUAUACAUACACAGGUUGCCAUUAAAAGAUAAGCAUUUACCAACAGUUGUCGCACACUACUAUGUGGAGGUCUACUUAAAUUCUGUAGCUGCAGACAUAGUGCCACUUUGUAAUACUUUUAUACAUCAGCAUGGGAACCUGUGCCACUUGCUGGGUGACUUUCACCCUGCAACUGCUAAUAAUAAGGAAGGAAGAUACUCAGUAAAAGAGAUCAGAACUUUGUCAGAGAUGGAGUUGGUUUUGCAGUUGGGGAUUUUUUGUUUAUCUUUACCCAAAAUAUAAUUUUCAGUGCCAAGAGAUGCCCAUGUCAGAGGUUCUUUAGAAACUGUUAAUGCUGGCUUUCUCAGUGCCCUCCUUUUUGUAUCCACAACUCCUAAAGAUCCCCACCUUUGUAGCAGUUACCUUGCUAGAUCCCUGCACUAGGCUCUGGCAGCCUAAGGAGUUCUGUCCCUCACAGCAUUAUUUAUUCCUAUUUGCAUUUGUUACCUACUUUUUAUUCAGUUACUCAACUGUUAGAGGUGUAUAUCCAUUAAAUGUCAUGUCUGCUUGCUUUUCAAA